AGAACGAACGCUGGCGGCAUGCCUAACACAUGCAAGUCGAACGAGACCUUCGGGUCUAGUGGCGCACGGGUGCGUAACGCGUGGGAAUCUGCCCUUGGGUUCGGGAUAACAGUUGGAAACGACUGCUAAUACCGGAUGAUGACUUCGGUCCAAAGAUUUAUCGCCCAGGGAUGAGCCCGCGUCGGAUUAGCUAGUUGGUGGGGUAAAGGCCUACCAAGGCAACGAUCCGUAGCUGGUCUGAGAGGAUGAUCAGCCACACUGGGACUGAGACACGGCCCAGACUCCUACGGGAGGCAGCAGUGGGGAAUAUUGGACAAUGGGCGAAAGCCUGAUCCAGCAAUGCGCGUGAGUGAUGAAGGCCUUAGGUUGUAAAGCUACUUUACCCGGGAUGAUAAUAGACAGUACCGGAGAAUAAGCCCCGGCUAACGUCCGUGCCAGCCAGCCGAC
rnacentral:rRNA from 1 species